AAUCAUACCCUACCGUCCCCCUUUGUCUCUCUCAAUUUUCAAAACCCUAAAUAAAUCUCUUUCCGAAGAUCUCCGUCUCGUCGUCUCAGAACAACCUCCCUUCUCGCAGGAAAAAGAAAUGAGUAGCCGUUCGAGUCGAACUCUGUAUGUUGGGAAUCUUCCUGGCGAUGUACGCGAGAGGGAAGUGGAAGAUUUGUUUUACAAGUAUGGUCCUAUAGCCCAUAUUGACCUGAAAAUUCCACCGAGGCCUCCAGGUUAUGCAUUUGUUGAGUUUGAAGAGGCUCGAGAUGCUGAAGAUGCUAUUCGUGGUCGUGAUGGCUAUGAUUUUGGAGGACAUCGUUUGCGGGUUGAACUUGCACAUGGUGGGCGUGGGCGUUCAUCAGUAGAUCGUCAUAGCAGUUUUAGUGGUGGGCGUGGGCGUGGGCCAUCCAGACGUUCUGAAUAUCGUGUGUUAGUCACUGGAUUGCCAUCUUCUGCUUCAUGGCAGGACCUUAAGGAUCACAUGCGUCGAGCUGGGGAUGUUUGUUUUUCUCAAGUUUUCCGUGAUGGUAGUGGAACAACAGGGAUUGUGGACUACACCAACUAUGAUGAUAUGAAAUAUGCUAUUAAGAAACUUGAUGACUCUGAGUUUCGGAAUGCAUUUUCUCGGGCUUAUGUUCGGGUUAGGGAAUAUGAUUCUAAGCGGGACUCCUCUAGAAGCCCUAGUCGUGGUCGAUCACUCUCAAGAAGCCGUAGCCGGAGCCGAAGCCGUAGUCGCAGCCGUAGCCGCAGCCGCAGUCGUGGACGGAGCUAUAGUCGGAGCAAGAGCCACAGCAAGUCUCCAAGAGCAAAACCUUCGCGAAAGUCACCAGCAAAGUCAAGAUCUAGGUCUGCUUCUCGUUCCCGCUCUGCAUCAAGGACUCGCUCUUUGUCAAGAUAUGGAUAAAUGCAGCAAACUGGGAAUUGGAUAUUAGGAUCUUGUGGGAAUAUGGUUCAAUUGCAUGCAACUCGUUUGGUUGCAGAGAUUUGGAACAAAGGAGACAAUGGACUGCGAUAAUAGAGCUGGAUUUCUUUACAAGGAAUUGCAAUAGUAGAGCUGGAUUUCAGUGAAGUAAAUGCAUUGGGAUUUGCAAGUCACCAUCAUUGAGCGGUAGAAACAUUUCACUGUCAAUUUCAGCUCCAGAUAUUGCCAAGCUAAUAGGACAUGCUAUGUGGAUUAACCUGUGGAUUUUGGUGGCACAUAGCGAAGCAUGCUCAUUCUCUAUCCACUGGUGUCGGAAUAUGAAAAAUAAUUCUUUUAAGGAAUUUCAUUUUGUUAGAUUAGGUUUUUUUUUUUUUUCCUUACGUAGGCAGGUUUGUGAGCUGGUCCUAUUCUUUAUUUCCUUAUUUAACUGCUAAAGAUUUAUGCUUUCUUCUUUAUUCCUUUUGAAUAUGGUGAUUCUGACGUGGAAGGGGCAUCAAGGCUCUUGGAUGAAAGUUGUUAAAAGGAAGGUGUUGAUUUUAAACUUGGGUUCUUUCUGGAACUUUUGCAGAUCUCGAUCAAGAUCCAGAUCUCCUUUGCCUUCUCGUCAAAAAGGAAGGAGUAAGAGUCCAAAAAGACGCACUGUUAGCAGGAGUCCAAGUGGGAGCAGAAGCAGGAGUAGGAGCAAGAGUUUAUCCAGGUAAGGCACAAUUGCUGAGUUGAUUUGCGACCCAGAAGCUGAAGACUCUUAUUAAUUUAAGUUUUUUAUUAAAAAAUUACCUUGAGCACUGGAAAACUUGUCAAAAAAGUUUAGCAAUCAUGUUGGAUUUCAUUAAAACAUUUUAUGUUUGUGCUGUUAUUGAAAACAUUUUAUAUACCUGUUUUUAGCAUUUAAUAUUAUGAUUGAUUGUUGGUUUAA